CAAAUUUUCGUGGACACUGGAUCAAAUCCAUUAAUAUGGAAUUAUAUACUUUUGGGAACUAAAUCACUAAGUCCCUAUGUUCAUACCAAUUAUGGCUUAAAUGAAUCUCUCAUCAAGACAACUCAUUAACAUGAUCAUCAAAUAGAAUUCAAUUUAUCAACAUCAAGUUGGUAAUAUGAGGACUUACACACCGCAUAAAACUAAAUUCAUAAAACUGCAAUCAUAUGCCCCCUCCGUUGCGGUUAGUACGUGGAAACAUGGCCACAACCAAAAUAUUUCCCAUUUGUGUGUCGGUUAUGUUUUGCACAUACCAAUAUCACCACCUCAACAUACAUCAUGGGCACUGGAGACCCACACAAAAGGUACUAUUAUCCGUCAUUCAUAUAAUAUCUUAGAUCUCUUGUAGGGAUUUACACAUAAGGCUGUAUGUUGAUAACACUUUGAGAACAAUUCCAGGCAUCAGAGCGAGAUUAAUACCACACAUAGAA
rnacentral:lncRNA from 1 species